GUCCCCAUUUUGAAUGUAAUUCCAGAGAUCUUGUUCAUGGAGCAUCUCCCUGCAAUUGCAUUAGAACUUCUGAUGUCAUUUUGCUGCCCAACUCAAUCUAAAAUGGGCAAAAGAGAAAUGUCCUUUGGUCAGUUUUCCUGGAAAUAUCGGUUUAGGUUCUAUGGAAUCUUUUUACAAGGCAGCAGUGAAAGAUUUCAGAAGUUGGUGGCUCAGUCAGAAGGUGGUCUCCUCCCCAAUAUUCAAAUUAAGAUUCUCCUGCACAAAUAUUCAAUACAUUAAUGGUGUACCGCAUUUGCAUUGCCUUCAAAAUUUGAAGAGAGAAUUAAUUAGAUCUAGCCCAUCAUGGGACCUUCCACUGCUGCAGCACCAACGACCUUACAGUCUAUUAUGAAUCACAACUAAAAG
rnacentral:lncRNA from 1 species